GAAUAAAAAAAAUUGCAGGAAACUGACGGGUACGGAGGAACGUGACAAUAUGAACGCGACACGCAAGUAACAACGCAGUCGUUAUUUUUCAUAAUUAUCCGGCAAAACGAAUCUGUGGAAAACAAAAGUUGUGGAGCGUUAACGAGGAGGAUUUUCAGUCGAUCCAAUGGAUAAUGACAUUAGCUCUCUGUGCUGUCGCAUUAUUUUAAUGGCAAAUUCUUUAUUUCGCUUCUCUUUCGCCGGUGUAUUCAAGAGCUUUUUAAGAUUUAACGAGGACGUGGCCGCCUUUCAAUUUUACCGGAAAUGAAAGAUACUAUUUUAUUCCAUGCCAAGUAUAUUUUGAACUAUUUUUCCAAAAAAGGAGGAAGUAAAAUAAAAAAACAACAGGCAAGAGCUUGUAAUUAAAUUUCAGGGAAAACGUGAAACAAAAUCAAAGUGCAGAUCCAAGAGAAAAAAUCAGAGAAGAAAAAAAAAUCUCUUCGUGUACAAAAUGUUACAUUGAAAUGGAUAUUUUUAAACAUCAAAAGCGUGAAACUCGAGACACCGUUUCAACCAUGUUAAGACAAAUUAAAUCCAAAAAAAAGCGAAGAAAAGGGAAAAGCAGAAAGAGAAUUGGUUUCUCUUUCUAAAGCGUUUAAGAAAAUGGUAAUUACACAGAAAAA
rnacentral:misc_RNA from 1 species